rnacentral:tRNA from 1 species
GUGGGAGUUGUCCGGCCGAACACCCGUUGGCGGACUUGGAAAGCGGGUUGGGUUAACGCCCUCAGGGGUUCGAAUCCCCUAUCCUCCGCCA